rnacentral:tRNA from 1 species
CAAGAAUUAACAUAUUUAAAUGUAUCUCACUUACAUUGAGAAAAUAAUUAUUUUUUUAAUUAUUCUUGA